ACGGGUGAGUAAUGUCUGGGAAACUGCCCGAUGGAGGGGGAUAACUACUGGAAACGGUAGCUAAUACCGCAUAACGUCGCAAGACCAAAGUGGGGGACCUUCGGGCCUCACACCAUCGGAUGUGCCCAGAUGGGAUUAGCUAGUAGGUGGGGUAAUGGCUCACCUAGGCGACGAUCCCUAGCUGGUCUGAGAGGAUGACCAGCCACACUGGAACUGAGACGCGGUCCAGACUCCUACGGGAGGCAGCAGUGGGGAAUAUUGCACAAUGGGCGCAAGCCUGAUGCAGCCAUGCCGCGUGUAUGAAGAAGGCCUUCGGGUUGUAAAGUACUUUCAGCGGGGAGGAAGGCGGUGGAGUUAAUAACUUCACCGAUUGACGUUACCCGCAGAAGAAGCACCGGCUAACUCCGUGCCAGCAGCCGCGGUAAUACGGAGGGUGCAAGCGUUAAUCGGAAUUACUGGGCGUAAAGCGCACGCAGGCGGUCUGUCAAGUCGGAUGUGAAAUCCCCGGGCUUAACCUGGGAACUGCAUUCGAAACUGGCAGGCUAGAGUCUUGUAGAGGGGGGUAGAAUUCCAGGUGUAGC
rnacentral:rRNA from 1 species